rnacentral:rRNA from 1 species
ACGGCUUACCAAGGCAACGAUACGUAGCCGACCUGAGAGGGUGAUCGGCCACACUGGAACUGAGACACGGUCCAGACUCCUACGGGAGGCAGCAGUAGGGAAUCUUCCGCAAUGGGCGAAAGCCUGACGGAGCAACGCCGCGUGAGUGAUGAAGGUCUUCGGAUCGUAAAACUCUGUUAUUAGGGAAGAACAAACGUGUAAGUAACUGUGCACGUCUUGACGGUACCUAAUCAGAAAGCCACGGCUAACUACGUGCCAGCAGCCGCGGUAAUACGUAGGUGGCAAGCGUUAUCCGGAAUUAUUGGGCGUAAAGCGCGCGUAGGCGGUUUUUUAAGUCUGAUGUGAAAGCCCACGGCUCAACCGUGGAGGGUCAUUGGAAACUGGAAAACUUGAGUGCAGAAGAGGAAAGUGGAAUUCCAUGUGUAGCGGUGAAAUGCGCAGAGAUAUGGAG